rnacentral:rRNA from 1 species
GAUCAUGGCUCAGGAUGAACGCUGGCGGCGUGCCUAAUACAUGCAAGUCGAACGCUUCACAUAUGUGAAGAGUGGCGAACGGGUGAGUAAUACAUAAGUAACCUGGCCUUUACAGGGGGAUAACUAUUGGAAACGAUAGCUAAGACCGCAUAGGUGUCAUAACCGCAUGGAGAUGAUAUGAAAUAUGCUACGGCAUAGGUAGAGGAUGGACUUAUGGCGCA